rnacentral:lncRNA from 1 species
CGCGCAAAGGCCCUGGGUACGAGGUUGUUUCUUUUAGGUCUUGACUGAUAUUAGCCAAGAGCUGGUAGAGCUCGGUAACACUUUUCUCUUGGAAAUGAAAGCGUAGUAUUUUACGUAAUCGUGGUAAUGUCAACCCAUUUAUUCCCUCCAAAUAACUUCGUAGUUGUAACCCAGCCUGAACAGCUCUAACAACAGCAUGGGUAAUUUCCUCUUCUGUGUAACCCUUUUGCAGCCCAAUUUCAAUCUGUGAAAUGAGUGACUGAUAUGCUAGUUUAUCUUUAUGUCCUGGCUCUCCGAUUUGUCCUUGUAUCUUGAAUUCCCGACGGAGCAUGCUUGUUUUCAUGUUAAGAAAUGCACUUUAAUUGUGGCUUAUCUUGUUGUGUUACUGAUUCACUAGUUAUAGUUAUGUCCUCAGUUGUUUCAUUUUGCGUUUGGACAGUAUUUAUUUGAUCUUUUAGUUUUUCCUGCUCUACUAGUAACUUUUCAUACUGUGUUUUGAGCUGUUUCAGUUCCUGUUCACUCUUUUCUUUUGCUUUCACACUUUCCUCAUUUUGACUCAUUGUUUUGCUGUCUAAAAUAGUUUGUAUUUUCCCCAAUAGACUGUCAAGCUGCUCGCUAUUACACUUAAGUACUUCUUCUUCAAAUACUGUACGUAUAAUUUUAAUCAGUUCCAACCUACCCUUUUCUCCGAUUUCUUCUACCUUUAUCCAUUUCUUCUCCAAAUCGGGCUAAUUCCAUUCGUUUUAAGCCCAUCAUACGAGACUGAAGCUCUAUAAUCAAAUCUUCUGACAUUUUCCAACAGUAGAUCGUCCAACUUCCCGUUGUAGAAUUUGUCUUAAACUUUUAUAUACAUAUAUAUACAAUAUCCACAAUUUGUCAAUAACUCACGUAUAUAAAGUAUCAUAAAUCUCGCAAAUCUCGUGUAUUUUCUCGCCCACACAUCGAUUUUUCUACAUAUUACCUUCCAUUGUCUCGGUGGGACCUCCAAAUGUUACUCCGAGUUCUUUUUAUUUUACAUUUUAUUCACUUUUAAAGGAGUAUUUUAAUAAAACUUUUACAAAACAUGUGUUCGUUAUUUUUUCGUUUUACAAAAGGGCUAGACUGUAUUGCUGAGCCCGUUUCUACAACACAACCGCUGACUAAGCGCUAGACUAUCUCGCUGAAUAUAAAGUUCCAGUCUUUAAAGCUGUUUCUUAAUUGUUUUCUCACACGGCUACAUUUUAUCGUGUUGCUUUGAAAGCCUCCUUAUUCCAUUCCAGCUCCUCCCCCCCCCCUUAAUGGAGUGUUUUCCAACGAGGAGGCCAGGUUGCUUAACCGCUCUCGUGGCAACGAUCGUGGCGUGAACCAUAGCUUCUUUCGAAAAUUGAAUUUUGAACAAACAAAGUUCGUCGUGUGUCACGAGAAUUGCCCAAAAAUUAAUGGUGAACAAACCAUGUUCUUUCGAAAGAGGCACGUUCAUACUAUUAGGCGAUGUGAAAUUUAUUGCUCUGCAUGCAACGAUUUUGAGGAAAUAUAUUGGACUCGAUGUUGGAGAGUGUAUUAGAUAAGUGACUAGCCUUGUAGUUAUUCAUAUCCUAUAGGCAUGUCGUUCAGUGCCAGUACUGACGACCGUACAAGUACGACGAAAACG